ACAGCAGCUAAAGCAUGGAAAUAUACAGUGCGCGAAGUUUCGUGUCAAAAGUCAAUACAGCGUUGAAACGAAACGAACACAGAGAGUUAAAGGCGUUUGGGCUAUUUAAAACCGUAGAGUGAAAAGUUUAUGGCAGAAAAAUAACAAAAAAAAUUAAGCGCACGACAUGUGGUGGAAAAGUAUCCUUCGAACCAGCUGUGGGGAGUUCAAAAAACGAUUUAUAUUUCUGAAAACAACAACAUGGUGACUCAUUACAACUUAAAGCCAAAGACGCAGUGAAGCGCAAAAUCGCUCAAAUAUCAAGCAAACAAAUCGGCCGCUGUUCAGUUGGCAUUGAAGAAAGAGCCAAUAAAUAAAAAUGGUACGAAUUGUAAGCCAAAAAACAUUUAAAAAGUAAACAGAAAAAGCGAAAAAAACAUACUUAAAAAAAAUAAACUACGCAGUAAAAAUUGACAGUGGACUUAGAAGUAGUCGAAAAGUUAUUUGUGCAACUUACUAAAAAUUAAGUAAAGCAUUAAACAUAAUACAAAAAAUAAAAACGUAACUAUUGCCAAUAUUCGUUAUUGGCAAAUUGGUAGUUGUGGUAUGAGAUGUAAAAAAAUAAAGUGAUAAUUUUGUUCUGA